UUCUUAGAUAAAAGACGACAUAGGAAAUUCUGAGUAAUGAUUUUUCUCUUGCCACUUUUGUCAACUUCUUAGAAUCUACAUUACUAGUAUCAAACCAUAUUGCCCUCAAUUCAUUUGCUCUGAACAAUUUGACCAUCUAACUAUGGUUGCAGUCAUGCUUUCACACUAUUAAAUAACUUUAGAUUGUUUUGAUCUCAAACUCUAAAGUAUGUGAAGUGGUCAAAAGUGUUUACAUCUUUUUUAUCUUGUAACUUCUACUAUAAGAAUACAGAUUUAUUUCCACUAAGACAUACCAAAAAAAAAUUCUAUAAACAGCUCCAAAAGGAAAUGCCUCCCCACCCACACAGCAAAAACAGAAAUAGACAAAUAAAAAACAAUGUUUUGACAAAAUUAUCUCAAUAAUAUGCUAAGAGUGCAUUGAGGUAAUCAAUAUUGCAACAGUCUAAUACAAAGUAAUCAAGAUAUGUGUUAAUUCCCCCACCCCCCAAAUCUGUUGGGGCAUUUAGAGCUGAGCAAAGGCUCAUUUGACCACAACUAUUGCCUAAAUCUAGACCAGGAGUCCCCAAACUAAGGGUCAUGGGCCAGUCUGCCAACAUCAUUUACACUAAGUCUAAACUUUAGACUUAGUGUCACCCUAAGUCUGAAAUAACUUGAAGGCACACAACAACAAAAAUCCAAAAGCAGGUCCACACUUUUGAAAUACUGGUAAGUUUAUGUUGGUUAAAAUUGUUCUUUAUUUUAAAUAUUGUAUUGUUCUUUCAUAUUUUAUUGUGCUACAAAUAAGAUCUGUGUAGUGUGCAUAGGAAUUUGUUCAUGUCUUUUUCAAACUAUAGUCCACUCCCACCCCACCCCCCCUCCGCCCAACAGUCUGAGGGACCAUGAACCGGCCUUCUCCUUAAGAAGUUUGAGGAUCCCUGAUCUAGACUAUAGGGUAAGAGCAGCUCUGUUAUAUUUCCAUAUGUAAAGUAAGCAGGCUCAUACUGCUUUUUCUACACUCAACCUCCUAGAUCUUAGAUUUAGAUCUAUGCUACAGCAUUUGCUAUUGUGAGUUCACUGUUUUCCUCAUGAAUUUGGAUAACUCUGUUUGUAGAGUGUAUGGAAUUACAAGCUAAACUGUACUGUGUGUCACCUGGAGAUGUUAUUAAAAGGGAUAUAAAUAAAAAAACACAAAUGCUGAAGCUGUAAAGUAGUUUAUAAUUUUGAAAAGAUGUCAAAGAAUCAAAUUUGUAUUAGCCAGAAUAUGUAGUUUUCCUUUGUUCUUCUGGUACUUGGUUGCAUUCCAGCCCAAUGGCAGCUUGGAUUCAAUGUGCUGACAUCAUUGCUAAGCAACAGAUUUUCCAGGCCUGGAAAUCCCACUCAUUAUACGAUAUGGGUGUUUGUGUAGCCUAACUCCUAGAACAAGGGCCAUAAGAAUGGAUUUUGCCCUUCUCAAAUGGAAAUUAUGCAGGGACUCUAACACAGAUCCAUAACAGCAUAACUAUGUUUCGGGGUUUGCAAGGUAAUCACCUCUGCUUUCAACAGUUGUAAUGCUCAC